GACCUCAGAUCAGGUAGGACUACCCGCUGAACUUAAGCAUAUCAAUAAGCGGAGGAAAAGAAACUAACAAGGAUUCCCCUAGUAGCGGCGAGCGAAGCGGGAUGAGCUCAAAUUUGUAAUCUGGCGUCCCACGGGCGUCCGAGUUGUAAAUUAAAGAAACGUUUUCCGCGCCGGCCGUGUCCAAGUCCCCUGGAAUGGGGUAUCGAAGAGGGUGACAAUCCCGUGCUUGACACGACCACCGGGGCUAUGUGAUACGUUCUCUACGAGUCGAGUUGUUUGGGAAUGCAGCUCUAAA
rnacentral:rRNA from 1 species